GACCAGGUGAAGAGCAGUCAGCUCCAGAGCUCACGCAGAUUGUCUUUGUUCCAGUUAAGAACGGGAGUCGGCCCUGGGUCCCAGCCCCACCUGAAGACCAUCAGAACCGCUCUUCCCCAGUCCCCUGUGGGAAUGAGAAUGAAGGGAAGGUGUCUUGACCUGAGUCUCCUCUCCUUUCUGGGCAAAAGGCCUGGCCAUACGGGCCACAAGAUGGGUCCCAAGGAACCCUCAAAGGUUGUGGAAUUCUGCACUUGGGAGAGACUGGAGCCUGGGGGAGCUCCGCCAACCCAGCCACACCUGUAGCCGGUCCACCCACUAAUCCCCCCACCUUGCUCCAACUCAAGCCUGCUGCCCUACAACCACAUCUGACCACAUCACCCCUCCAAGAUGUCACCUGACCUCCACCUCCACCUGGCCCUUGUUCUGACUCAAGAGGAGCAGACUUCUGGCAAAAGGGGUUAAGGGUGGUUUUACCCAUCACCUACUCAGCUGGCCUGAGCUACAUUUCCCAGUCUCCUUCCCCAUGGAUUUCGGGCUUAGGCCACGUAGGAAAGUUCCGGGGAGCGGGAGGGAGGUGUUCACCUACAGUUCCUGCCUGCUGGGCCACUAUUGCCCCUCUGCGUUUUUUUUGCUUCUCGGAGUCAGGUUAGCACCUUCAUGAGGUCACAGGCACAACUAUGAGGUACCUUCCACCUGCGCUCUGGGGUCAGCCCUCACUUCGUAGAUGCCUCUCUCAUGCUUGGAAGCAGCCCCAGCCCCGUCCACAGAGCAGACUGAGCAAGCACAGUGCCGGCCACAAGCACAUGAGCACUGUUAUGGUUUGGACAUGAAGUGUCCUCCAGACGGCCCCUGUGUCGUAGGCUUGCCUUCUGAUCUGGCAGCACCCAGAGUUGGAACCUCUGGGAGGGGACUGGAUCACCAAGGUUGAUGGCACCAGGAAGCAGUGGAAAGGGGCCUCCGUGGAGAAAGUAGGGAGCUGGAGGCAUGGCAUUUUCCUGCCGCUUCCCCUCUAUAUCCCUCUGCCUCUGGCACACCGCCAUGAAGUGAGCAGCUUUGCUCUGCCACACGGUCGCAUGAGGCCCACAGGACCGCUGCCAGCUGGCCAUGGACUGGAGCCUCAGAAACCAUGAGCCAAAAUAAAUCUUUUAAAAUCCGUG